AGGGUUUGAUCCUGGCUCAGGACGAACGCUGGCGGCGUGCCUAACACAUGCAAGUCGAGCGAGAAUCUUUGGUUUGAAUCCUUCGGGAGGAUAACUGAAGAGGAAAGCGGCGGACGGGUGAGUAACGCGUGAGUAACCUGCCUUUAGGAGGGGGACAACAUUUCGAAAGGAAUGCUAAUACCGCAUAAUAUUAUCGUACCGCAUGGUAUGAUAAUCAAAGCGCUUAGCGCCUAAAGAUGGACUCGCGUCUGAUUAGCUAGUUGGUGGGGUAAAGGCCUACCAAGGCGACGAUCAGUAGCCGAACUGAGAGGUUGAUCGGCCACAUUGGGACUGAGACACGGCCCAG
rnacentral:rRNA from 1 species